UCUCCGUAGGUGAACCUGCGGAGGGAUCAUUACCGAGUGAGGGCGCUUGCGCCCGACCUCCCCAACCCUUUGAUGAUAAACACCUCAUUAUGCCUCGGGGGCGACCCGGCCGUUCGUGCGGCUUCGGGUCCUCCCGGCGGCACUCCCAACAAACCCUGCAUCAAUUGUCGUCUGAUUAUAAAGUUAAAUCUAAUUAAAACUUUCAACAACGGAUCUCUUGGUUCUGGCAUCGAUGAAGAACGCAGC
rnacentral:misc_RNA from 1 species